UAGCACCCGUGAUGCCUCUGUGCUCCUGG
rnacentral:piRNA from 1 species